CACCUCGUACUCCCGUUGAAUGGAGUAAUCCUAAACUCCUCUGUGAACUUCGACCUUGAGCCCAAAUCAGUAAGCGCAAGUUUGUUUUGUUCAACCAGCUUGGCUCUAUCGUCGGGAUGGACUUUCUCUAUAAAUCGCUCAAAGGAGAAAGGCUCUUCUCCCGGC
rnacentral:misc_RNA from 1 species